rnacentral:rRNA from 1 species
UACGUAGGGUGCGAGCGUUGUCCGGAAUUAUUGGGCGUAAAGAGCUUGUAGGCGGUUUGUCGCGUCUGCUGUGAAAAUCCGGGGCUCAACCCCGGACUUGCAGUGGGUACGGGCAGACUAGAGUGUGGUAGGGGAGACUGGAAUUCCUGGUGUAGCGGUGAAAUGCGCAGAUAUCAGGAGGAACACCAAUGGCGAAGGCAGCACUCUGGGACGUGACUGACGCUGAGACGCGAAAGCGUGGGGAGCAAACAGG